GACGAACGCUGGCGGCGUGCUUAACACAUGCAAGUCGAACGGAAAGGCCCUGCUUUUGUGGGGUGCUCGAGUGGCGAACGGGUGAGUAACACGUGAGUAACCUGCCCUUGACUUUGGGAUAACUUCAGGAAACUGGGGCUAAUACCGGAUAGGAGCUCCUGCUGCAUGGUGGGGGUUGGAAAGUUUCGGCGGUUGGGGAUGGACUCGCGGCUUAUCAGCUUGUUGGUGGGGUAGUGGCUUACCAAGGCUUUGACGGGUAGCCGGCCUGGGAGGGGGACCGGCCAAAUUGGGAAGGGGACACGGCCCGGACCCCUACGGGGGGCAGGGGGGGGGAAAUUUUCAAAAGGGGGGGAGGCCGGUGGCAGCAACCCCGGGGGCGGGAUGAGGGCCUUCGGGUUGAAAACCGUUUCCGCCUGUGACGAAGGGUGAGGGACGGUAUUGGGAAAAGAGGCACCGGCUAACUACGU
rnacentral:rRNA from 1 species